GAUGAACGCUGGCGGCAUGCCUAAUACAUGCAAGUCGAACGGUCACACGAGGAGCUUUGUUUCUUGGCUUUCGCGGCGCGGGGGUGAGUGACAUGUGGGUGAAAUUCCUAUAUGGAUGGGGUUAACUACGGGAAACGUUGGUUAAUACCGCUUAUCUUCUCAACCGCAAAAUGGAAGAGUUUCAGACGUCCUUGCUGCCGCUUUUCGCUGAAUCCGGACUGCAUUAGCUAGUUGGUAAGGUAACGGCUUACCCAGGCAACGAUGCAUAGCCGAGCUGAGAGGAUGAUCGGCCACACUGGAACUGAGACACGGUCCAGACUCCUACGGGAGGCAGCAGUGGGGAAUCUUCCACAAUGGGCGAAAGCCUGACGCAGCAACGCCGCGUGUAUGAUGAAGGUCUUCGGGUCGUAAAGCACUUUUAGCAGGGAGGAAGAGAGUUGAAUUAAUACCUGCACUCAUUGACGGUACCUAAAGAGGAAGCCCCGGCUAACUACGUG
rnacentral:rRNA from 1 species